UGGGGAAUAUUGCACAAUGGGCGCAAGCCUGAUGCAGCCAUGCCGCGUGUAUGAAGAAGGCCUUCGGGUUGUAAAGUACUUUCAGCGAGGAGGAAGGCGAUGCGGUUAAUAACCGUGUCGAUUGACGUUACUCGCAGAAGAAGCACCGGCUAACUCCGUGCCAGCAGCCGCGGUAAUACGGAGGGUGCAAGCGUUAAUCGGAAUUACUGGGCGUAAAGCGCACGCAGGCGGUCUGUCAAGUCGGAUGUGAAAUCCCCGGGCUCAACCUGGGAACUGCAUUCGAAACUGGCAGGCUUGAGUCUUGUAGAGGGGGGUAGAAUUCCAGGUGUAGCGGUGAAAUGCGUAGAGAUCUGGAGGAAUACCGGUGGCGAAGGCGGCCCCCUGGACGAAGACUGACGCUCAGGUGCGAAAGCGUGGGGAGCAAACA
rnacentral:rRNA from 1 species